rnacentral:rRNA from 1 species
CGGGGGGAGCAAGCGUUGUUCGGAUUUACUGGGCGUAAAGGGCGCGUAGGCGGCCACCGCAAGUCGACUGUGAAAUCUCCGGGCUUAACCCGGAAAGGUCAGCCGAUACUGCGGGGCUAGAGUGCAGAAGGGGCAACUGGAAUUCUCGGUGUAGCGGUGAAAUGCGUAGAUAUCGAGAGGAACACCUGCGGCGAAGGCGGGUUGCUGGGCUGACACUGACGCUGAGGCGCGAAAGCUAGGGGAGCGAACGGGAUUAGAUACCCCGGUAGUCCUAGCCUUAAACGAUGAAUGCUUGGUGUCUGGGGUUUUAUAGUCCCCGGGUGCCGCCGCUAACGCUUUAAGCAUUCCGCCUGGGGAGUACGGUCGCAAGACUG